GAUGAACGCUAGCGGCAGGCCUAACACAUGCAAGUCGAGGGGUAGCAGGAUUAAGCUUGCUUAAUUGCUGACGACCGGCGCACGGGUGCGUAACGCGUAUGCAACCUACCUUAUACUGGGGUAUAGCCCGGAGAAAUUCGGAUUAAUCCCCCAUAGUACUAAUGAAUCGCAUGGUUUAUUAGUUAAAGCAUUGCGGUAUAAGAUGGGCAUGCGUCCUAUUAGCUAGAUGGUGAGGUAACGGCUCACCAUGGCUACGAUAGGUAGGGGGCCUGAGAGUGUGGUCCCCCACACUGGUACUGAGACACGGACCAGACUCCUACGGGAGGCAGCAGUGAGGAAUAUUGGUCAAUGGGCGCAAGCCUGAACCAGCCAUGCCGCGUGUAGGAAGAAUGCCCUAUGGGUUGUAAACUGCUUUUAUUUGGGAAUAAACCUCUUUACGUGUAGAGAGCUGAAGGUACCAAAUGAAUAAGCACCGGCUAACUCCGUGCCAGCCGCCGCAGUAA
rnacentral:rRNA from 1 species